rnacentral:rRNA from 1 species
GACGAACGCUGGCGGCGUGCUUAACACAUGCAAGUCGAACGGAAAGGCCCUGCUUUUGUGGGGUGCUCGAGUGGCGAACGGGUGAGUAACACGUGAGUAACCUGCCCUUGACUUUGGGAUAACUUCAGGAAACUGGGGCUAAUACCGGAUAGGAGCUCCUGCUGCAUGGUGGGGGUUGGAAAGUUUCGGCGGUUGGGGAUGGACUCGCGGCUUAUCAGCUUGUUGGUGGGGUAGUGGCUUACCAAGGCUUUGACGGGUAGCCGGCCUGGGAGGGUGACCGGCCACAUUGGGACUGAGAUACGGCCCAGACUCCUACGGGAGGCAGCAGUGGGGAAUAUUGCACAAUGGGCGGAAGCCUGAUACAGCAACGCCGCGUGCGGGAUGACGGCUUUCGGGUUGUAAACCGCUUUCGCCUGAGACGAAGCGUGAGUGACGGUAAUGAGUAAAGAAGCACCGGCUAACUACGUG